AAAAAUCAGUCAUGCCCGGGAUCUAGUUGAGAGUGGCAGUGGAAGUUGUUCAUUCUCUUUUCGUAUAUUUCCAAGUUAGAAAAAUGCUUUUAUUUUCAUUCUAAAUUUAAUUUAUGAUGUUUACAUUACAUCAAGUAAUAAUUUAGUGUUUAAUGAAAAGAAUAUAGGUCAAUGUGAUCUUUUGCAUACGCUACUUUGUUGUUAAAAGAAUUGAUAUACAUCUGAAGAACUGAUUAUGGGAGACAUCAGUGAUCGAGAGCAGCUUUACUACCGUAAUGGAGAUAUGGAUUGGUUGAUUUCUUUCUAUCUGGUAUUUAUACUAUAUUAUGUUCAGACAGGCUAGAAUUUCCUAACACUGUCCCAUAACAAAGAUUAUGUUUAGGGGUGGGAUGUUUGUGGCGGUUACUAUUAUAAAACAGUUCAGCCCAACUCUCUCAGCAGUACCAAGUUCUAUCCGGUUGGUUCUGAGUCCAAUGGGUGCUUUCAAGUUAGAGUCAUAGACCUGCAGAUCGCAUUUCCGUGCCAACAACUGGACGAACUUGUGCUACUGUUUGAUUGUGGUUUACGGAUGGCUGUGAAGUAAGAAAAUCGCUAUGAAUGGGGUUUGAGUUGUUAGGGUCCCCGUAGGAUAUUUGCAGUUGUCAGUCGAGUAUUUCAUUUCUGAUCAGUGCCCUUUGUGGUGGUUCCACAGCUUUUUCAUGAUGGUUGCGGGCUCAGAACAGCACUAAUUUGAUGGGCAGGUGGAGUACUGUUACACUGUGGCCUGGUCUGAUCUGUUAUAUGAGACUGGCGGUGCAAAUAUAAUAAGAUAAUGCCUUCUGCAAAUCUAGAGAAUAUGAGGAAUAUUUGAGUUGAGAAUUAGAAUUAAGAAAGUAGAAGUAUAAGUUUAUAUUUAAGGAUGGAGUAAUUUCAAGUAUAGCCUCUAGCCUUUGCUAGUUGGCGGGGAAAAUAUAGCCUCUAGCCUUUGCUAGUUGGCGUGGGAAGGAAAGUGUAGCCUCUAGCCUUUGCUAGUAGGCGGGGUGAGAGAAAAUAUAGCCUCUAGCCUUUGCUAGUUGGCGGGGGAAGGGAAUGUCUAACCUCUAGACUAAUUAUUAGAAUUAAGAAAUUAGAAUAAGUUUAUAUUUGGGGCUGAAGCAAUAUUAGGUGAAGCCUCUAGCCUUUGCUAGUUGGCGGGGAAAGGGAAAGUAUAGCCUCUAGCCUUUGCUAGUUGGCGGGAGAUGGGAAUGUCUAACCUCUAGAUUAAUUAUUAGAAUUAAGAAAUUAGAAAUAAGUUUAUAUUUAAGGCUGAAGAAAUAUUAGGUAAAGCCUCUAGCCUUUGCUAGUUGGCGGGGUGAGAGAAAAUAUAGCCUCUAGCCUUUGCUAGUUGGCGGGG